UACAACUCCCAAACCCAAUGUGAACCAUACCAAACUGUUGCCUCGGCGGGGUCACGCCCCGGGUGCGUCGCAGCCCCGGAACCAGGCGCCCGCCGGAGGGACCAACCAAACUCUUUCUGUAGUCCCCUCGCGGACGUUAUUUCUUACAGCUCUGAGCAAAAAUUCAAAAUGAAUCAAAACUUUCAACAACGGAUCUCUUGGUUCUGGCAUCGAUGAAGAACGCAGCGAAAUGCGAUAAGUAAUGUGAAUUGCAGAAUUCAGUGAAUCAUCGAAUCUUUGAACGCACAUUGCGCCCGCCAGUAUUCUGGCGGGCAUGCCUGUCCGAGCGUCAUUUCAACCCUCGAACCCCUCCGGGGGGUCGGCGUUGGGGAUCGGGAACCCCUAAGACGGGAUCCCGGCCCCGAAAUACAGUGGCGGUCUCGCCGCAGCCUCUCCUGCGCAGUAGUUUGCACAACUCGCACCGGGAGCGCGGCGCGUCCACGUCCGUAAAACACCCAACUUCUGAAAUGUUGACCUCGGAUCAGGUAGGAAUACCCGCUGAACUUAAGCAUAUC
rnacentral:rRNA from 1 species